rnacentral:rRNA from 1 species
UGAGGAUGAUCAGCCACACUGGAACUGAGACACGGUCCAGACUCCUACGGGAGGCAGCAGUGGGGAAUAUUGCACAAUGGAGGAAACUCUGAUGCAGCAACGCCGCGUGGAGGAUGACGCGUUUCGGUGUGUAAACUCCUUUUAUAUAGGAAGAUAAUGACGGUACUAUAUGAAUAAGCACCGGCUAACUCCGUGCCAGCAGCCGCGGUAAUACGGAGGGUGCAAGCGUUACUCGGAAUCACUGGGCGUAAAGCGCGCGCAGGCGGCCUUUUAAGUUGGAUGUGAAAGCCUACGGCUCAACCGUAGAACUGCAUCCAAAACUACUAGGCUAGAGUGUGGGAGAGGAAGAUGGAAUUAGUUGUGUAGGGGUAAAAUCCGUAGAGAUAACUAGGAAUACCAAAAGCGAAGGCAAUCUUCUGGAACAUUACUGACGCUGAGGCGCGAAAGCGUGGGGAGCAAACAGGAUUAGAUACCCUGGUAGUCCACGCCCUAAACGAUGAAUGUUAGUCGUCGGGAAGCUAGUCUUUUCGGUGAUGCAGCUAACGCAUUAAACAUUCCGCCUGGGGAGUACGGUCGCAAGAUUAAAACUCAAAGGAAUAGACGGGGACCCGCACAAGUGGUGGAGCAUGUGGUUUAAUUCGAAAAUACGCGAAGAACCUUACCUAGCCUUGACAUAUUAAAGAACACUUUAGAGAUAGAGUGGUGCCUUCGGGAGCUUUUAUACAGGUGCUGCACGGCUGUCGUCAGCUCGUGUCGUGAGAUGUUGGGUUAAGUCCCGCAACGAGCGCAACCCUCGUCACUAGUUACUAACGGUUCGGCCGAGGACUCUAGUGAGACUGCCUUCGCAAGGAGGAGGAAGGUGAGGACGACGUCAAGUCAUCAUGGCCCUUACGGCUAGGGCAACACACGUGCUACAAUGGCCAGGACAAUGAGAAGCGAUACCGCGAGGUGGAGCAAAUCUAUAAACCUGGUCUCAGUUCGGAUUGUAGUCUGCAACUCGACUACAUGAAGCUGGAAUCACUAGUAAUCGUAGAUCAGCUAUGCUACGGUGAAUACGUUCCCGGGUCUUGUACUCACCGCCCGUCACACCAUGGGAGUUGAUUUCACCCGAAGCGGGGAAGCUAAACUGGCUACCCUCCACGGUGGAAUCAGCGACUGGGGUGAAGUCGGAACAAGGUAACCGUAGGAGAACCUGCGGUUG